UACGUAGGGUCCGAGCGUUGUCCGGAAUUAUUGGGCGUAAAGGGCUCGUAGGCGGUUUGUCGCGUCGGGAGUGAAAACGCCGGGCUUAACCCGGUGCUUGCUUUCGAUACGGGCAGACUGGUGGUAUGCAGGGGAGAACGGAAUUCCUGGUGUAGCGGUGAAAUGCGCAGAUAUCAGGAGGAACACCGGUGGCGAAGGCGGGUCUCUGGGCAAUUCCUGACGCUGAGGCGCGAAAGCGUGGGGAGCAAACGGG
rnacentral:rRNA from 1 species